rnacentral:rRNA from 1 species
CACUCCUGCGGGAGGCAGCAGUGGGGAAUAUUGGACCAUGGGCGCAAGCCUGAUCCAGCCAUGCCGCGUGAGUGAUGAAGGCCCUAGGGUUGUAAAGCUCUUUCACCGGUGAAGAUAAUGACGGUAACCGGAGAAGAAGCCCCGGCUAACUUCGUGCCAGCAGCCGCGGUAAUACGAAGGGGGCUAGCGUUGUUCGGAUUUACUGGGCGUAAAGCGCACGUAGGCGGACUAUUAAGUCAGGGGUGAAAUCCCGGGGCUCAACCCCGGAACUGCCUUUGAUACUGGUAGUCUUGAGUUCGAGAGAGGUGAGUGGAAUUCCGAGUGUAGAGGUGAAAUUCGUAGAUAUUCGGAGGAACACCAGUGGCGAAGGCGGCUCACUGGCUCGAUACUGACGCUGAGGUGCGAAAGCGUGGGGAGCAAACAGGAUUAGAAACCCGUGUAGUCCCAU